UAGUGGCGAACGGGUGAGUAACACGUGGGCAAUCUGCCCUUCACUCUGGGACAAGCCCUGGAAACGGGGUCUAAUACCGGAUAACACUCUGUCCCGCAUGGGACGGGGUUAAAAGCUCCGGCGGUGAAGGAUGAGCCCGCGGCCUAUCAGCUUGUUGGUGGGGUGAUGGCCUACCAAGGCGACGACGGGUAGCCGGCCUGAGAGGGCGACCGGCCACACUGGGACUGAGACACGGCCCAGACUCCUACGGGAGGCAGCAGUGGGGAAUAUUGCACAAUGGGCGAAAGCCUGAUGCAGCGACGCCGCGUGAGGGAUGACGGCCUUCGGGUUGUAAACCUCUUUCAGCAGGGAAGAAGCGAAAGUGACGGUACCUGCAGAAGAAGCGCCGGCUAACUACGUGCCAGCAGCCGCGGUAAUACGUAGGGCGCAAGCGUUGUCCGGAAUUAUUGGGCGUAAAGAGCUCGUAGGCGGCUUGUUGCGUCGGUUGUGAAAGCCCGGGGCUA
rnacentral:rRNA from 1 species